CUUCAGCAGAAGAGCUCAAGAGGUUCCAUCUCAGUUUAGUUCUUGACUCUCAAAGUCAUUGUCUCUCAUUAGUGCAGAUGUUGCUCCUCACAUUCAUUAUAUUUUCUCUCCUAAAAGAGAAUGCUGGUGAAGAUGUCAUAAAACCAGUCUUCACAGAGAAGCAGGUUUUGGAAGGAAAAGAUGUUACACUGAUCUGCAACUACACUGAAGCUGUUCACAAUUUACAGUGGUAUCGUCAGUAUCCCGGAUCCAAACCUGAGCACCUCAUUUUAUUCUUUGAAACCAACCCUAAAUCAGAGCCCGCUCUUCGUCUGACCGCUGCAGCUGAUAAAGCAGCCAAAAGUAUGAAUUUGACAAUCUCUUCAACAGAAGUGAAAGACUCUGCCGUGUACUACUGUGCCCUGCAGCCCACAGUGACAGGAAACACAACUACACUGUACAAAAACAGAAUGGGAUCUUCCGCAUGGAAGAAGCAUUUCAUGGAUGAAUGA